ACACAGAGAGCGCUACCAUCAAAAAGGGGAAAGAAGAUCUCAAGCUGAGACUUAUUAAUUGCUAAGAGCAGCUCUGCCACCAGCCAUUUUGAGUUUGCACGGCUUCUUCCUCCCCAAGGGGAGGAAUGAAACGUGGGCGAGCGCGGGGAGAAAAUGUGCCGGAAAAAAGGAGGAAGGAGUGGUGGAGGGAGAGGAGGAGGAGGGUUUGUUAAGCCAUCGUCUUGUCCCCUGAGCCCGAGCCGGCUGGGAAUUAGUAACAGAGAGAUAACGGAGGUUGUAUCCCUCCCUUCGCAUUGCUUUUCGUGGAGCGCUCAGACUCCCUGACAGAUUACCCUGGUACCAGCGCGGGUAAAGAGCCGUAUUCACCUAAUCCCAUUUGAGGGAAUGAAAAGGGAAAUAAAUUAAAAAAAAAAAA